GACGAACGCUGGCGGCGUGCUUAACACAUGCAAGUCGAGCGGUAAGGCCCUUUCGGGGGCACACGAGCGGCGAACGGGUGAGUAACACGUGGGUGACCUGCCUUUAGCUCUGGGAUAAGCCUGGGAAACCGGGUCUAAUACCGGAUAUGACUCCGCGGCGCAUGUUGUGGGGUGGAAAGCCUUGUGCGGCUGGAGAUGGGCCCGCGGCCUAUCAGCUUGUUGGUGGGGU
rnacentral:rRNA from 1 species